AUGCACGCUGGCGGCGUGCCUAAUACAUGCAAGUCGAACGCAUAGCGAAAGGUGCUUGCACCUUUCAAGUGAGUGGCGAACGGGUGAGUAACACGUGGACAACCUGCCUCAAGGCUGGGGAUAACAUUUGGAAACAGAUGCUAAUACCGAAUAAAACUUAGUGUCGCAUGACCCAAAGUUAAAAGGCGCUUCGGCGUCACCUAGAGAUGGAUCCGCGGUGCAUUAGUUAGUUGGUGGGGUAAAGGCCUACCAAGACAAUGAUGCAUAGCCGAGUUGAGAGACUGAUCGGCCACAUUGGGACUGAGACACGGCCCAAACUCCUACGGGAGGCUGCAGUAGGGAAUCUUCCACAAUGGGCGAAAGCCUGAUGGAGCAACGCCGCGUGUGUGAUGAAGGCUUUCGGGUCGUAAAGCACUGUUGUAUGGGAAGAACAGCUAGAAUAGGAAAUGAUUUUAGUUUGACGGUACCAUACCAGAAAGGGACGGCUAAAUACGUG
rnacentral:rRNA from 1 species